rnacentral:rRNA from 1 species
AUUGAACGCUGGCGGCAUGCCUAACACAUGCAAGUCGAACGGUAACGCGGAGAGCUUGCUCUCUGGCGACGAGUGGCGGACGGGUGAGUAAUACUUAGGAAUCUGCCCAGUAGUGGGGGACAACAUUCGGAAACGGAUGCUAAUACCGCAUACGCACUACGGUGGAAAGUGGGGGACCUUCGGGCCUCACGCUAUUGGAUGAGCCUAAGUCGGAUUAGCCUGUUGGUAGGGUAAUGGCCUACCAAGGCGACGAUCCGUAGCUGGUCUGAGAGGACGAUCAGCCACACUGGGACUGAGACACGGCCCAGACUCCUACGGGAGGCAGCAGUGGGGAAUAUUGGACAAUGGGCGCAAGCCUGAUCCAGCAAUGCCGCGUGUGUGAAGAAGGCCUGCGGGUUGUAAAGCACUUUCAGUAGAGAAGAAAUGCCUGGGGUUAAUACCCCGGGUCUUGACGUAACCUACAGAAGAAGCACCGGCUAACUCCGUG